CACCAUUGGUCCACUACAGCUCCUCCUCUAGUCAGUCAGUUGAAGAGGGGAGUUGACGUCACUCCACUGCGAGUCAUAGCUGUUGUGUUCAUAGACGUACAUAGCCUUAUAUCCUGGACCACAUGACUCCACAUGCCGAAGCAUCCUUGGGCAAGACACUGAACCCCAUGUUGCUCCCAAUGAGAAACCUACUCCCCUUUCUCCCAGCUGAUACUAGUGAAACGACUCAACCCCAGGAAGGUUGGAGAAGCCGCCUUUGAACCUCCCACAACUGUGAUAGCCCUCGCUCGCACAGCCGUACUCAUUGACUCUCAACCCCGGUGGAUUCACACCAGUAGACUGAAACAGUGCCUGACCAGAACCAGCUCAUCUGAGAAUGGAUGAAAAUUCACAAUCAAGCAGCCCUUAGGGGGCCUCCUCUUGUCUCACCUAAGCACAUACACAUAUAGAUUUUCUUGUAUUAGCCUUGAGAACACACACAAGUAACAAGCAACAACUCAUGCCCUGUCUGAUGGGAGCAUGUGAGGGGUGGGAGCUGUUGAAGCUCAUGGAUCCCUCAUGGGCGUUCCUUGCUGUUUAUGGGAAGAGUGUAUGUAGGUCCAGUUGGGACCUAAGAAGGCAUUGAUAAGUUUACUGUGAACACUCUUCCCUCUCAAUCCCUUGUUAACAUUUUGUAAAGAUUAAAGAAUUAAAUGUAAAGAAUAAUAUUGGCUGUGUUUGCUAGCAAGCAAGCUAAAUCUACACUAGCAGCUGAGAGUAAAGAAUGAAAUUUGCCAUGUUCGCUAGCAAGUGAGCAAAUUGCUACAUGUAAAGAAUGAAAUUAGCCAUGUUUGGAAGCAAGUGAGAUAACGCUAAAUGUUUUGUGUGAACAAUAAAAUUAGCCAUGUUCACUAGCAAGCUUGCGAACACUAUGCUAGCUGCUGCAUGUAAACAAUGAAAUUAGCAAUGUUUGUGAGCUAAAGCUAUGCUAACCACUGCAUGUAAAGAAUAAAAUUAGCUAUGUUCUAUCUAUCUAUCUAUCUAUCUAUCUAAUCAACUCUACAAUGAUUGGCACUCUGUCUUUCAGACUUUAUUUCUAGGAUUAGUAACCCUAACCCCA
ensembl:lncRNA